AUCCAGCUGACGAGUACCAAAUAGGACAAAACACGCGUCCUGGAU
rnacentral:hammerhead_ribozyme from 1 species